rnacentral:misc_RNA from 1 species
GAAAUGCGAUAAGUAAUGUGAAUUGCAGAAUUCAGUGAAUCAUCGAAUCUUUGAACGCACAUUGCGCCCGCCAGUAUUCUGGCGGGCAUGCCUGUUCGAGCGUCAUUACAACCCUCAGGCCCCCGGGCCUGGCGUUGGGGAUCGGCGGAAGCCCCCUGCGGGCACAACGCCGUCCCCCAAAUACAGUGGCGGUCCCGCCGCAGCUUCCAUUGCGUAGUAGCUAACACCUCGCAACUGGAGAGCGGCGCGGCCACGCCGUAAAACACCCAACUUCUGAAUGUUGACCUCGAAUCAGGUAGGAAUACCCGCUGAACUUAA